AAAGGAAAAUAGGGUUUCUAAUGGCUUCUGCUUCUCUCAUUCUUGCAUUGGCCAUAAUAUUUUUCAGUCUCCCAUUUCAAAUUUCAGGAAACCAGUAUGUGUCUCCACCACCACCUCACAAGAAACCCUAUCACCAUCCCAAUCCACCACCACCAUCUCAAAUAGUGCACCACCACCCACCACCUCCUCAUCCACUCCACCACUCUCCUCCACCGCCAAAUAAACCAUACAAGUCCACUCCUCCACCACCACCACCACCACCCAAAAAGAAACCCUACAAAUACCCUUCUCCCCCUCCUCCGGUGCCGAAGAAGCCUUACCCAGUUUACCACUCUCCACCGCCACCGCCACCACCACACAAGAAGCCGUACAAAUAUCCAUCUCCUCCACCUCCACCGCACAAUAAGCCACCUUCCCCUCACCCAGUUUACCACUCUCCUCCGCCACCUCCUAAGCCAUACAAAUACCCUUCCCCUCCUCCACCACACAAAUAAUUCCCCAUUAAUAUUAUGGAUCUGAGCAGAGGAAGCCAUGAACUGAAGGGAGCACUUCCAAAAUGUAAUGGAAUAAAAGAUGGAACUUUUCAUAUAUUUUCAUUGGUGUUUAAUUAUUGUUCAGAAUGGAUUUUCUUUUUCUAUUUUUAGUAAGGUACUGUUCCCUCCAUGCAUUUACUUCAUUUUGGCCAUGCACUGUAAUUUUUGAAGGUUGUCUGUUCGCGUAUUAGGCUGGCAAAGCAAUAUAAAGAAUAUAUAUUUCACCAACA